GGAGAGAUGGCAGAGUGGUUGAUUGCACCGGUCUUGAAAACCGGCGUGCCUGAAAAGGUACCGAGGGUUCGAAUCCCUCUCUCUCCG
rnacentral:tRNA from 1 species